AACUUUUGGCAACGGAUCUCUUGGCUCUCGCAUCGAUGAAGAACGCAGCGAAAUGCGAUAAGUAAUGUGAAUUGCAGAAUCCGUGAGUCAUCGAAUCUUUGAACGCACAUUGCGCCCUCUGGUAUUCCGGGGGGCAUGCCUGUUCGAGCGUCAUUAUCGCCCUUCGCGCCCCCGUGGUGUGGUGUUGGGUCUUUGCCCGGGGCCCCGCGCCCCGGGCGGCCCUAAAGACAAUGACGGCGUCGCAGGAGGACCCCAGUACACUGAGCUCUCGGGCACGUACUCGGUUUUGGACCACACUGGACGACCGGUCGUCGACUUCAUUUUUCAGAAAGUUGACCUCGGAUCAGGUAGGGAUACCCGCUGAACUUAAGCAUAUCAAUAAGCGGAGGCU
rnacentral:misc_RNA from 1 species